UUGAGAGAGGUUGCAGUUUUUAAUAGUAAUAUUUAAUAAAAUCAGAUUAUUGUAAAUAUGAAAGGAAAAAUUGCCGAAAUCUAAAAGAAUAUCUGUAACUUUUAGGUUGGGAUAAUGCAGAAUAUGUAUUAUACUGUCAUAGAAAUAAACUAUGGAGUGCUGUC
rnacentral:ncRNA from 1 species